rnacentral:sRNA from 1 species
GCUGGGCAUGGUGGCGCACACCUGUGAUCCCAGCAGCUGGGGAGACUGAGGCAGGAGAAUUGGAAGUUCAAAGUCAGCCUCAGCAACUUAGCAAGACCCUGUCUCAA